rnacentral:rRNA from 1 species
GUAGUCAUAUGCUUGUCUCAAGAUUAAGCCAUGCAUGUCUAAGUAUAAGCAAAUUUAUACCGUGAAACUGCGAAUGGCUCAUUAAAUCAGUUAUCGUUUAUUUGAUAGUACCUUACUACUUGGAUAACCGUGGUAAUUCUAGAGCUAAUACAUGCUAAAAGCCCCGACUUCGGAAGGGGUGUAUUUAUUAGAUUAAAAACCAAUGCCCUUCGGGGCUCUUUGGUGAUUCAUAAUAACUUAACGAAUCGCAUGGCCUUGUGCCGGCGAUGGUUCAUUCAAAUUUCUGCCCUAUCAACUUUCGAUGGUAGUAUAUGGGACUACCAUGGUUUCAACGGGUAACGGGGAAU